rnacentral:rRNA from 1 species
UACGUAGGGUGCAGGCGUUACUCGGAAUUAUUGGGCGUAAAGCGUGCGCAGGCGGUUUGCUAAGACAGGUGUGAAAUCCCCGGGCUUAACCUGGGAACUGCGCUUGUAACUGGCAAGCUAGAGUGUGGCAGAGGGGGGUGGAAUUCCACGUGUAGCAGUGAAAUGCGUAGAGAUGUGGAGGAACACCGAUGGCGAAGGCAGCCCCCUGGGCUAACACUGACGCUCAUGCACGAAAGCGUGGGGAGCAAACAGG